rnacentral:tRNA from 1 species
GCCGAAGUGGCGGAACUGGUAGACGCGCAUGGUUCAGGGCCAUGUGGCCGUCAGGCCGUAGGGGUUCGAGUCCCCUCUUCGGCACCA